UUAGUUGUGGCUGAGUGGUUAAAGCGAUGGACUAAAAAUCCAUUAGGGUCUCACUGCGCAGGUUCGAAUCCUGCUAACUACG